GUGGUUGUUGUGGGUGUGGUGGUUGUUGUGGGUGUGGUGGUUGUUGUGGGUGUGGUGGGCUUUGUGGGUGUGGUGGUUGUUGUUGGUGUGGUGGUUGUAGUUGUGAGUGUAGUGGUUGUAGUUGUGGGCUUUGUGGGUGUGGUGGUUGUUGUGGGUGUGGUGGUUGUUGUGGGUGUGGUGGUUGUUGUCGGUGUGGUGGUUGUAGUUGUGAGUGUAGUGGUUGUAGUUGUUGUGGACUUUGUGGGCGUGGUGGUUGUUGUCAGUGUGGUGGUUGUAGUUAUGGUUGCUGUGGACUUUGUGGGUGUGGUGGUUGUUGUGGGUGUGGUGGUUGUGGUUGCUGUGGAUUUUGUGGGUGUGGUGGUUGUAGUUGUGGUUGCUGUGGGUGUGGUGGUUGUUGUGGGUGUGGUGGUUGUAGUUGUUGUGGACUUUGUGGGUGUGGUGGUUGUUGUGAGUGUAGUGGUUGUAGUUGUGGUUGCUGUGGACUUUGUGGGUGUGGUGGUUGUAGUUGUGGUUGCUGUGGGUGUGGUGGUUGCUGUGGGUGUGGUGGUUGUAGUUGUUGUGGACUUUGUGGGUGUGGUGGUUGUUGUGAGUGUGGUGGUUGUAGUUGUGGUUGCUGUGGGUGUGGUGGUUGUUGUGGGUGUGGUGGUUGUAGUUGUUGUGGACUUUGUGGGCGUGGUGGUUGUAGGGGCUGUGUUGGUUGUUGUAGAUGUAUUGGUUGUAGUUGUAGGUGUUGUGGGCUUUGUGGAUGUAGUGAUUGUAGUUGUUGUAGCUGUUGUGUUAGUUUGUGUUGUGGAUGUUGUGGGUGUUGUAGGCAUUGUGGGUGUUGUAGUUGUUGUGGAAUUUGUAGGCGUUGUAAUUGUGGUCGUCACAGUUGUUUGUGUUACAGAAGGUUCUGGUGUAGAUGUUGUUGGUUCUGCAGUAAUUGUUGAUGUGGAUUUGGAUGGUGUUAUCGUUGUUGGUGUUAUGGAAGGUGAGGGUGUAGAUGUUGGUUCUGCAGUAGAUGUUGAUGGAGGUAUGGAUGGUGUUAGAGUUGUUGGUGUUACAGAAGGUGUUUGUGUUGAUGAAGUUGUUUCUGUUGGGUUUUCAGCAGUAGUUGGUGUAUUUUCAGAUGGUGUUACAGAAGGUGUUUGUGUUGAUGACAAAGUUGUUUCUGUUGGGUUUUCAGCAGUAGUUGGUGGGUUUUCAGAUGGUGUUAGAGUUGUUGGUGUUACAGAAGGUAUUUGAUCUGUUGUCAUGGACUCUGUCAUUGCAGAUGUUUCCACUAGGUCUGUAGUUGAAAUCGAUGUCCCUGGUGAGACAGUACUGUCCUGGUAUGCAGAUGUUUGGACUGUUGAUUGCUUGGAUGUAGCAUUAGUUGUUAUUACAGUCGUGGCUUCUGUUGUCAGUGCUGUAUCAUCUGUUGACUGUGUUGACAGUUCUGUUGAUUGUACAGUGCUGGUUUCUGCCACUGUGGUGGUAGUUUGUUCUGAUGAGGUCUGUACUGGUGUUGUGAACAAUGUAAUUGCUGGUGUAGUUUCUGGUUGUCGGACUCCUGAAUGAAGAGGAAUGGGGGAAAAUCAUGAAUGAAGGGCUGACGAUUGGUUUUAAAUAUCUACUGCAGUGAUUAGCACUGAUUUAGCAUGGUGGUGGUGUAUGAGGUGUCAGUAGUGUGUGUUGUGCUGCUGAGUGGAUUAGAUACAGCAGUGCUGCUGGAGUUUUUUAAACACUGCAUUUAAUUAUCACUCACUGUAUUCCACUCUAUUACACACUCCUACCUAUAGCUGUAUCUAUAGUCAGAUAC
ensembl:lncRNA